rfam:Picea glauca, whole genome shotgun sequence.
ACCUUGUCAAAAUUGGUACGAACAAGGGGAAUUCGACUAUUUAAUUAAAAAAAGAAUUGUGAUGGUCCCUGUGGAUGCUAACACAAUGGGAUUUAUGCCCAAUGCUCUGCAUAUCAAAGUGAUAAAAAACUCAACCAGCAUGGGUAAACAAUGGGAGUAACUAUGACACUCUUAAGGUAUUCAGAUGCCUCAUCAUCUAACUAGUGACACAGAUGAAUGGAUUAACGAUAUUCUCACUGUCCCAAGCUACUAUCUAGAGAAACCAAAAUCAAGGGAACAAGCUUGGAAAAAUUAGCGGGGAAAGACGACCCUGUUGAGAUUGACUCUAGUACAACUUUCUGAAAUGACUUGAGAGGUGUAGAAUAAGUGGUAUUUUGUUUCAGUGCAAGUGACAUACCACUACUUUUAACUUCAUUUUACUUAUUUCGUGGUGUAGAGAUGAGGCAUUGCACAAAUGUUAAAAUAUAAUUCACAUUUCCUCAAAGUGUUGUCUUUGAUGGAAAUGGUCGAAAUCUCAUUCUUCACACACUUGAUUGCAAUGAGUUUAGGAAACCAAAGAUGAUCAUUGUUUUUAACGAUUAAGAAAAUUCCUAUAACAAUACCUAUGUUUUUAGCCAACAUCCCCCUAUAAGUAUCUAUGU